rnacentral:rRNA from 1 species
GACGAACGCUGGCGGCGUGCUUAACACAUGCAAGUCGAACGGAAAGGCCUCUUUCGGGGGGUACUCGAGUGGCGAACGGGUGAGUAACACGUGAGUAACCUGCCCUUGACUUUGGGAUAACUUCAGGAAACUGGGGCUAAUACCGGAUAGGAGCUCCUGCUGCAUGGUGGGGGUUGGAAAGUUUCGGCGGUUGGGGAUGGACUCGCGGCUUAUCAGCUUGUUGGUGGGGUAUUGGCUUACCAAGGCUUUGACGGGUAGCCGGCCUGAGAGGGUGACCGGCAACAUUGGGACUGGGAUACGGCCCAGACUCCUACGGGAGGCAGCAGUGGGGAAUAUUGCACAAUGGGUGGAAGCCUGAUGCAGCAACGCCGUGUGCGGGAUGACGGCCUUCGGGUUGUAAACCGCUUUCGCUCAUGACGAAGCUUUGUGUGACGGUAGUGGGUAAAGAAGCACCGGCUAACUACGUG